UACGGGGGGGGCAAGCGUUAAUCGGAAUUACUGGGCGUAAAGCGUGCGCAGGCGGUUUUGUAAGUCUGUCGUGAAAUCCCCGGGCUCAACCUGGGAAUUGCGAUGGAGACUGCAAGGCUAGAAUCUGGCAGAGGGGGGUAGAAUUCCAUGUGUAGCAGUGAAAUGCGUAGAGAUGUGGAGGAACACCGAUGGCGAAGGCAGCCCCCUGGGUCAAGAUUGACGCUCAUGCACGAAAGCGUGGGGAGCAAACAGG
rnacentral:rRNA from 1 species